GGCGGACGGGUGCGUAACGCGUAAGAACUUACCUUUUGGCGAGGGACAACCGCGGGAAACUGCGGCUAAUACCUCAUAGAGCUGAGGAGCGAAAGGUGAAAACCACCAAAAGAGAGGCUUGCGUCUGAUUAGCUAGUUGGUGAGGGUAAUGGCCUCCCAAGGCGACGAUCACUAGCUGGUCUGAGAGGAUGAUCAGCCACACUGGAACUGAGACACGGUCCAGACUCCUACGGGAGGCAGCAGUGAGGAAUUUUCCGCAAUGGGCGAAAGCCUGACGGAGCAUUACCGCGUGGAGGAGGAAGGCCCGUGGGUCGUAAACUCCUUUUCUCAGAGAAGAACACAAUGACGGUAUCUGAGGAAUAAGCAUCGGCUAACUCCGUGCCAGCAGCCGCGGUAAUACGGAGGAUGCAAGCGUUAUCCGGACUGAUUGGGUGUAAAGCAUCUGUAGGCGGUUUUUGGAAGUCUACGGUUUAAAUCCCAGAGCUUUAACUUUGGU
rnacentral:rRNA from 1 species